rnacentral:rRNA from 1 species
CCUACGGGAGGCAGCAGUGGGGAAUAUUGGGCAAUGGGCGCAAGCCUGACCCAGCAACGCCGCGUGAAGGAAGAAGGCUUUCGGGUUGUAAACUUCUUUUGUCAGGGAGCAAAGUCACCCACGUGUGGGUGUUGGAGAGUACCUGAAGAAAAAGCAUCGGCUAACUCCGUGCCAGCAGCCGCGGUAAUACGGAGGAUGCGAGCGUUAUCCGGAUUUAUUGGGUUUAAAGGGUGCGUAGGCGGGUUAUCAAGUCAGCGGUAAAAUCGUGGAGCUAAACUCCAUCCAGCCGUUGAAACUGAUGAUCUUGAGUGGGCGAGAAGUAUGCGGAAUGCGUGGUGUAGCGGUGAAAUGCAUAGAUAUCACACAGAACACCGAUUGCGAAGGCAUCUCACGAAUCCGCGAUUGACGCUGAUGCACGAAAGCGUGGGUAUCAAACAGGAUUAGAUACCCCUGUAGUC